AACGCACAUUGCGCCCUCUGGUAUUCCGGGGGGCAUGCCUGUCCGAGCGUCAUUUCAAACCCUCAAGCCCGGCUUGUGUUAUGGGCCGACGUCCCCUUAAUCGGUGGACGGGCCCCAAAUGCAGUGACCGAGGCCGCGAUUCCGGCGCCCGAGCGAAUGGGAGAACCACCAGCUCUAGUGGCCCGGCCGGUCCUCAGGUCCCAAUCGACCAUUUUCAAGGUUGACCUCGGAUCAGGUAGGGAUACCCGCUGAACUUAA
rnacentral:misc_RNA from 1 species